CAGUCGCCGCGGGAAAACCAGCACCUCGAGUGGUCAGGAGGUUUAUUGGGCCUAAAGCAUCCGUAGCCGGUUGCAUAAGUUUUCGGUUAAAUCUAUGCGCUUAACGUAUAGGCCGCCGAAAAUACUGUGCAGCUAGGGAGUGGGAGAGGUACACGGUACUCGAUAGGAAGGGGUAAAAUCCUUUGAUCUAUUGAUGACCACCUGUGGCGAAGGCGGUGUACCAGAACACGUUCGACGGUGAGGGAUGAAAGCUGGGGGAGCAAACCGGAUUAGAUACCCCAGUAGUCCCUGUCUCUUAUAC
rnacentral:rRNA from 1 species